AGUGAACGCUGGCGGUAGGCUUAACACAUGCAAGUCGAACGGCAGCACAGUAAGAGCUUGCUCUUACGGGUGGCGAGUGGCGGACGGGUGAGGAAUAUAUCGGAAUCUACUUUUUCGUGGGGGAUAACGUAGGGAAACUUACGCUAAUACCGCAUACGCCCUACGGGUGAAAGCAGGGGAUCUUCGGACCUUGCGCGAUUGAAUGAGCCGAUGUCGGAUUAGCUAGUUGGCGGGGUAAAGGCCCACCAAGGCGACGAUCCGUAGCUGGUCUGAGAGGAUGAUCAGCCACACUGGAACUGGGACACGGUCCAGACUCCUACGGGAGGCAGCAGUGGGGAAUAUUGGACAAUGGGCGCAAGCCUGAUCCAGCCAUACCGCGUGGGUGAAGAAGGCCUUCGGGUUGUAAAGCCCUUUUGUUGGGAAAGAAAAGCAGCAGGUUAAUACCCCGCUGUUCUGACGGUACCCAAAGAAUAAGCACCGGCUAACUUCGUG
rnacentral:rRNA from 1 species